CCUACGGGAGGCAGCAGUAAGGAAUAUUGGUCAAUGGGCGGAAGCCUGAACCAGCCAUGCCGCGUGCAGGAUGACAGCCCUAUGGGUCGUAAACUGCUUUUGUACCAGAAUAAACCUAUUUUCGUGAAAGUAGCUGAAUGUAUGGUAAGAAUAAGGAUCGGCUAACUCCGUGCCAGCAGCCGCGGUAAUACGGAGGAUCCAAGCGUUAUCCGGAUUUAUUGGGUUUAAAGGGAGCGUAGGCGGCCUGUUAAGUCAGAGGUGAAAGACGGUAGCUCAACUAUCGCAGUGCCUUUGAUACUGACGGGCUUGAAUACAGAUGAGGUAGGCGGAAUGUGACAAGUAGCGGUGAAAUGCAUAGAUAUGUCACAGAACACCGAUUGCGAAGGCAGCUUACUAAACUGUGAUUGACGCUGAGGCUCGAAAGCGUGGGGAUCAAACAGGAUUAGAUACCCUGGUAGUC
rnacentral:rRNA from 1 species